AAAAUUAUGUAUACACGUAUAGGCAGCUAGAGAUCUCCCUGCCUGCCUCCUCCCCUCCCCCGAGACGGGCAGCUCCGAUCCCGCAGGAACGCCUGAAACUGUUUCAGACCAAGCCCUGUAACAUGAGCACCUUCACUGCACUGCCUGGUGAGGGAUGCACUGGGGCCGGCAGGAGUACAGCCUGACGCAGGACACCAGAGUCAGACAGUCAAGAACAGAAAAUUGGAUUUUUACAACCCAUUGGUAUCUCACCACCACCUUCUUCCAGGUCCUCUACAACUGUGGUACAAGUCCAACUGUCCUGGAAAGGUAUAUGUGACUCACACCACAGCUGCUGGCUCACAGCAGGGAUUUUCUCCUCUUGAAGUUCAUUUCCAGGACCAGAUUAAGAAGCAGUAGCCUACAACAGGGAGAUUUGCUAUCCCUAUUCCCAGUCAUUCUGCUUCUCUGCACUUUGCUGUAACUUUAUAGAGAAUAAAAAUAAAAAAUCAUAUAAACA
rnacentral:lncRNA from 1 species